CGCAGAAAAAGCCAACCCCCUUUCAACAUGGGGACGGAAAGCUACGGAUCUCUAUGAGACAGCCGAGUUGCCUGC
rnacentral:ncRNA from 1 species